AAGACAGUUCCAGAACACGUGACGGCUGUUCAGCGGGGACAGCAUAGCAUUGAACCAAACGCUGACACCUACUGAGGCUGGCCUUGUGUGACCGCACCAUCGCCAGCCGUCUGGCCCUGCUCUUCAUAACUCUCCAUUCCCUCCGCGUGCUGGGACUCGGCCCAUGCAAGGGCGUUGACUCCAGGGUGGGGGAGUUGUCAGCCUGUGACUGAGUCUGGCCUCCCUCUUGCUGACCGGGUGAGGCUGAGCCUACACAUACUUGACAACUCUGGAAAAUCGGGGGUUCAACCAGACAAACUCAAAGCCCCCUACAGCCCAGCUCCACACCCCAGCUCCACACACAAUGCAGUGUUCACCCCAUGACUGCUGUGGACCCCUGCUCUGCAAUCGCUCGCCGGCGAUUGAGGGUUUGCAGUGGUAAGGACCUUGAAGGUCACCUCGUCCAACUGCUUUAUUGAUUAGAUGGGGAAACUGAGGCCCAGAGUCCAUCUCCAGCCCCCACGUGGCCGCCUGCCUGCCCUUAUGAGCCUCCCCUCCAAGGAGCAGCAGGCUGUGAAAGGCAGGCCCCAGUCUCCCCUCCAGCUGGUCUUCAGCAGCUGGACCAGAGCAGAGCUGACCAGGAGCAAGCCUGGACCACAGAGUUGCAUGUGGUCCCCAGACCUCUGCGGCUGUCACUCACUGUGCCCAGAGGAAGAACAAGGCCAGUCUUCCAGAUAGCUGGGCCCUGGAGGGACCCAAGAAGAGCCUGUCUCCAAGGGCCUGUGCUGCUCCGGCAUCCUUUUCCUGGGGAAAUCAAGACGCCACCUCAGGGCCUCUUGGCCAGUGUGGAGCCUCUGCCUGGGCACCAGGACCCAAUAUUCUCACAGGCCUUCAUGCCUGCCCCCAUAAGCCUGAGUAUAGACAAACUGGCAAGAUGGGCUCUGAGGCUGUGUGCCAGCUGGAGAUGCAAGGUGAGAGGGCAGAGACACUGUGGCAGGUAGGAGCUCGCCCCAAGCUGGUACCUUCUCAUGGAAGAAUUGAGGGAGCGGACUGAGAACAAACACCCUACCCAGCCAUGCCGUUUGCAAAGAGACUCUACAGUGUCUCCCGUGGAGAAUGGGGUUAUGUCUCCCCACCCUGAACCUGGACUUGCUGUAUGACUCACUUUGACCAACAGAAUAUGGUGGAAGUGGCAGAGUGCUGAUUCUAGCCCAGGCCUCCAGGGACCUUGCGUGCUGCCCUGUGGUCUCACACCUCCACACAGCCCUGGCAGCCUGCAAGAGAAUGACAAAUUUGUGGGGCCAAGCCAAGCUGGUCCAGAUGUUCCAGCCAAAGCCCAGAGAUAAGAGAGAACCCAGGCAAUAUCAGUGAUGCUGCCUACCUGACUUGCUGCUGAUGCUGGACACACCAGUGAGCCCAGCCCAAAGCAGAAAACCACCAAGCUGAGCCCAGCCUUAUCUGCCAAGCUAAAGAUUCAGACAUUGUUUUAAGCCCU
rnacentral:lncRNA from 1 species